UACGUAGGGUGCGAGCGUUGUCCGGAAUUAUUGGGCGUAAAGGGCUCGUAGGCGGUUUGUCGCGUCGGGAGUGAAAACUCAGGGCUUAACCCUGAGCCUGCUUCCGAUACGGGCAGACUGGAGGUAUGCAGGGGAGAACGGAAUUCCUGGUGUAGCGGUGGAAUGCGUAGAGAUCCGGAAGAACACCAGUGGCGAAGGCGGCCCGCUGGGCAGUGGCUGACGCUGAGGCGCGACAGCGUGGGGAGCAAACAGG
rnacentral:rRNA from 1 species